rnacentral:rRNA from 1 species
CCUACGGGAGGCAGCAGUGGGGAAUAUUGCGCAAUGGGCGAAAGCCGGACGCAGCGACGCAGCGUGAGGGAUGAAGGUUUUCGGAUCGGAAACCUCUGUCAGAAGGGAAGAAGGUGCAUGGGGCCAAUCACCUGUGCAUUUAAGGUACCUUCAAAGGAAGCAACGGCUAACUCCGUGCCAGCAGCCGCGGUAAUACGGAGGGUGCGAGCGUUAAUCGGAAUGACUGGGCGUAAGGCGAACGUAGGCUGUAUGUCAAGUAAAGGGUGCAAUCCCCCGGCUCAACCUUGGAAAUGCCUUUGAAACUGGCAACCUGGCGUAUGUGAUAGGGCGGCGGAAUUCCUGGUGGAGGAGUGAAAUCCGUAGAUAUCAGGAGGAACAUCAGUGGCGAAGGCGGCCGCCUGGCACAAAACUGACGCUGAGGUGCGAAAGCGUGGGUAGCAAACAGGAUUAGAUACCCGUGUAGUC